ensembl:lncRNA
GGGAAGUCGGGCAUCAUGCCAUAUCAUCCCCACCCCCAUCCUGUGCCUCAGCACCUCUCCAUCACACCCUCCUCAGCCUCAGUACGCACACGUCAGCUGGGCAAACACUUGACUCAUUGUCAAAAUAAACACCUCGCAAAUAGAGGCAAAACAAGAACAACUGCCCCACACAGCAGACUGAAUAAAUCAUGGGGGUCUGAUGGAGGGAUGAGAAGAUGAUAAUGACUAUAGCCAUUAGUCAUACGCAGAUUAGAAGUCAAGCUGGCCCUGUUGAAGAAGAAGAAUGUGACGACAUGCUAAAAAGGUAGCAGGAAUUAUUGGAGUCAGAACAACUGGAGAAUCACUUCAUCCAGCCUUUAUUCAGGGAUCUGCAGGGAAGCUGAACCCUGAGCCCCCCUACCUGACAAACUGUUGCCAUGGGAAUUGCUGUUCCUUGGUGAGCCUUAUGUAUCCCCCACCUCAUCCCCCGACCCCAAUCUUACAAACAAACCCCAAUACACAGUCUUGACGAGGAGAAAACAACUACCACCCCCCAAAAAAGCAAGCAUGCACACUUUCCCAGUCACUGAACACAUGCACCCGUGCAUCCAUUUUGCACUUCAACAAGUUCCGUUAAAUAUUCAUGAUGCAUAACUACACAAAGUAGUGCUCUUUCUCUCUCUCAUUCUCAGUAUAACACUGUAUUUCUUGAGCAGUUCUUUCACCUAUC